GCGGUGGAGCAUGUGUUUAAUCGAUGAUACGCGAAGAACCUUACCGGGGUUUGACAUGCAGGUGAUCGCCGUUUGAAAGACGGUUUUCCUCUUCGGAGGCACCUGCACAGGUGCUGCAUGGCUGUCGUCAGCUCGUGUCGUGAGAUGUUGGGUUAAGUCCCGCAACGAGCGCAACCCUUAUCCCCAGUUGCCAUCAGGUAAAGCUGGGAACUCUGGGGAGACUGCCGGUGAUAAACCGGAGGAAGGCGGGGAUGACGUCAAGUCCUCAUGGCCCUUACAUCCCGGGCUACACACGUGCUACAAUGGCAGGUACAGAGGGCUGCGAAGCCGCGAGGUGGAGCGAAUCCCAGAAAACCUGUCUCAGUCCGGAUUGAAGUCUGCAACUCGACUUCAUGAAGGCGGAAUCGCUAGUAACCGCGAAUCAGCAGGUCGCGGUGAAUACGUUCCCGGGCCUU
rnacentral:rRNA from 1 species